rnacentral:rRNA from 1 species
UGGUGCAUGGUUGUCGUCAGCUCGUGUCGUGAGAUGUUGGGUUAAGUCCCGCAACGAGCGCAACCCCUAUUGUUAGUUGCCAUCAUUCAGUUGGGCACUCUAGCGAGACUGCCGGUAAUAAACCGGAGGAAGUGGGGAUGACGUCAAAUCAUCAUGCCCCUUAUGACCUGGGCUACACACGUGCUACAAUGGUUGGUACAACGAGUUGCGAGUCGGUGACGGCGAGCUAAUACUCUUAAAGCCAAUCUCAGUUCGGAUUGUAGGCUGCAACUCGCCUACAUGAAGUCGGAAUCGCUAGUAAUCGCGGAUCAGCACGCCGCGGUGAAUACGUUCCCGGGCCUU